UCGGAUAUGGUGUAAUGGCUAACAUUACCGCCUCUCACUUCACUUUGACGGUGCGCGGUAGCUCGGGGUUCGAUUCCCCGUAUCCGAA